rnacentral:rRNA from 1 species
GCUCCUUUAAAAACCGGAUAAAAAAAAGUUCAUUUUUAUUUGGUUGGAGAAGAAAAGUCGUUUUAUAUUUGCACCCGCUUUGAGAGUAAGCGAUGUUCCUAAAGGUUGUAAAGGUGUUAUUAGAUUGACGCUGAAAGCUUUAAAAGAAACUAAAAAUUUUAUUAAAAAAGUUUUGGUGGAUAAAGAAAAAGCGUUGUAUAUUUGCACCCGCUUUGAGACAGAGCAACCGUUCACAAACAGAGAUUGAAAUUAAGAGAAACCGCCGGAUGGGGCGAGAUUGAGAGGUUCGAAUCCUUGGGUUUUAACAAGACAGAUUGGGAGACCAAUUGAGUUCAUUGAAAUAUUGAAUUGACAAGGAUUUUAUUUAGCGAUAGAUAAAAUCAAGUGUAUAAGAAUUAAGACUAGAAAAAGUCAUACUGAGCAAUUUCUUUAGUAGUUGUUGAAUAUAUUUAAGAUUUAACGAUGAAGAGUUUGAUCCUGGCUCAGGAUGAACGCUAGCGGCAGGCCUAACACAUGCAAGUCGAACGGUAACAGGGAUUAGCUUGCUAAUCCGCUGACGAGUGGCGCACGGGUGCGUAACGCGUAUACAAUCUGCCUUUAAGCGGGGAAUAGCCCAUGGAAACGUGGAUUAAUACCCCAUAGUAUAUAGACUUCACCUGGAGACUAUAUUAAACAUUUAUGGCUUAAAGAUGAGUAUGCGUCCUAUUAGUUAGUUGGUAAGGUAACGGCUUACCAAGACCGCGAUAGGUAGGGGUCCUGAGAGGGAGAUCCCCCACACUGGUACUGAGACACGGACCAGACUCCUACGGGAGGCAGCAGUGAGGAAUAUUGGACAAUGGAGGCAACUCUGAUCCAGCCAUGCCGCGUGCAGGAAGACGGCCCUAUGGGUUGUAAACUGCUUUUAUACGGGAAGAACCACUCCGACGUGUCGGAGCUUGACGGUACCGUAUGAAUAAGGACCGGCUAACUCCGUGCCAGCAGCCGCGGUAAUACGGAGGGUCCAAGCGUUAUCCGGAAUCAUUGGGUUUAAAGGGUCCGUAGGCGGAAUAAUAAGUCAGUGGUGAAAGUCUGCAGCUUAACUGUAGAAUUGCCAUUGAUACUGUUGUUCUUGAAUUAUUAUGAAGUGGUUGGAAUGAGUAGUGUAGCGGUGAAAUGCAUAGAUAUUACUCAGAACACCUAUUGCGAAGGCAGAUCACUAAUAAUAUAUUGACGCUGAGGGACGAAAGCGUAGGUAGCGAACAGGAUUAGAUACCCUGGUAGUCUACGCCGUAAACGAUGGUUACUAGCUGUCCGGCCUAAUUGAGGGCUGGGUGGUUAAGCGAAAGUGAUAAGUAACCCACCUGGGGAGUACGUUCGCAAGAAUGAAACUCAAAGGAAUUGACGGGGGCCCGCACAAGCGGUGGAGCAUGUGGUUUAAUUCGAUGAUACGCGAGGAACCUUACCAGGGCUUAAAUGCAGUCUGACAGGUCUGGAAACAGACCCUUCUUCGGACAGAUUGCAAGGUGCUGCAUGGUUGUCGUCAGCUCGUGCCGUGAGGUGUCAGGUUAAGUCCUAUAACGAGCGCAACCCCUGUGGUUAGUUGCCAGCACGUAAUGGUGGGAACUCUAGCCAGACUGCCGGUGCAAACCGCGAGGAAGGUGGGGAUGACGUCAAAUCAUCACGGCCCUUACGUCCUGGGCCACACACGUGCUACAAUGGUAGGGACAGAGGGCAGCUACCCCGCGAGGGGAUGCGAAUCUUCAAACCCUAUCACAGUUCGGAUCGCAGUCUGCAACUCGACUGCGUGAAGCUGGAAUCGCUAGUAAUCGCAUAUCAGCCAUGAUGCGGUGAAUACGUUCCCGGGCCUUGUACACACCGCCCGUCAAGCCAUGGAAGCCGGGGGUACCUGAAGUCCGUCACCGUAAGGAGCGGCCUAGGGUAAAACUGGUAACUGGGGCUAAGUCGUAACAAGGUAGCCGUACCGGAAGGUGCGGCUGGAACACCUCCUUUCU